AGAGUUUGAUCAUGGCUCAGGACGAACGCUGGCGGCGUGCUUAACACAUGCAAGUCGAACGGAAAGGCCCUGCUUGCAGGGUGCUCGAGUGGCGAACGGGUGAGUAACACGUGGGUGAUCUGCCCUGCACUUCGGGAUAAGCUUGGGAAACUGGGUCUAAUACCGGAUAGGACCAUGGCAUGCAUGUGCUGUGGUGGAAAGCUUUUGCGGUGUGGGAUGGGCCCGCGGCCUAUCAGCUUGUUGGUGGGGUGAUGGCCUACCAAGGCGACGACGGGUAGCCGGCCUGAGAGGGUGUCCGGCCACACUGGGACUGAGAUACGGCCCAGACUCCUACGGGAGGCAGCAGUGGGGAAUAUUGCACAAUGGGCGCAAGCCUGAUGCAGCGACGCCGCGUGGGGGAUGACGGCCUUCGGGUUGUAAACCUCUUUCACCAUCGACGAAGGCCUGCCUUUUUGGUGGGUUGACGGUAGGUGGAGAAGAAGCACCGGCCAACUACGUGCCAGCAGCCGCGGUAAUACGUAGGGUGCGAGCGUUGUCCGGAAUUACUGGGCGUAAAGAGCUCGUAGGUGGUUUGUCGCGUUGUUCGUGAAAUUCCCUGGCUUAACUGGGGGCGUGCGGGCGAUACGGGCAGACUGGAGUACUGCAGGGGAGACUGGAAUUCCUGGUGUAGCGGUGGAAUGCGCAGAUAUCAGGAGGAACACCGGUGGCGAAGGCGGGUCUCUGGGCAGUAACUGACGCUGAGGAGCGAAAGCGUGGGGAGCGAACAGGAUUAGAUACCCCGGUAGUCC
rnacentral:rRNA from 1 species